UCCACGGUGGGGGGGCUUUGAAAGGGUGGGGGCCAGAGCUCUACAGGACAUGCGCAGCCUGUGGAGCGCAGGGCUUCCUAGCUCGGGAAGCAGACUCAGAGAGGGUGUGUGGCUUGCCCCAGGUCACACAGCGGGGCAGGGGCCCAGGGCCUAGCCUGCCAGUCCUGUUUCUGCCCCCAUCCUGGGGUUCUGGUGCAGGGUCUCCUGCCUGUGCUGACCAGCAGUAUUCAUGAGGUGCUGGUCAGCUCAGGUGGUGGCAGCAGGGAAGGAGGUGCGCUUGGAGCCAGGCAGCCCCGGAGGCACCACUUUCCAGCUGGGGGUCACUCAACUUUCAGGAAGCCCAGGGUCCUCCUCUGGCAGUGGUGACGGCCCCGGCCUCCAGGAGCGGCCGCAAGGAUUCAGAGCUGAUAAGGUGAACGCCUAGGGUGGGGCCUGGUGCACUGGGAGAGCUCAGGCCCUGGGGCUGGAUUAACUGUCCCUGGGGCACAGACACUGGUCUGGGGGCCUAGAGAGCCCUCAGAGCCGCCCCACUGUCCCCCACUGAAGCCAUCCUUUGCCUCCUGGUGCCCACCUCCCCAUCUCUGCACCUACAGAAAAAGGCAGAGGAGCUGCCGCUCCUGGGGUGGCCCCCUCCGCCCCAUCACAGCCUUCCCGGCUUGCCGGGCAUGGAUGGGUCUCCCGUGACCCCGCGCCCAUGCCCAGCCAGGAAGUGGCUGGGCAGCCACAGGGCUGGGCGAGCAAACCUUCCCCAAUCCCCACCCCAGGAGCCACACCUGCCCUUCCCUCCCCUGUCAGCUCCUGCAGAGACAGCACACUCCUGCUCUGCCCCCUCCGGAGGCACCCAGGGCUCCCACCUCCUCCUCCCUCCCUGGGCCUCGCUUUCUCCAUCUGUGACCAGGACAAGUACAAGAGGCAGACUGCUGGCCCCACCCCGCUGUGGGUCCUGCCAGCACACACCAAGAUCUGUCUUCUCAAAGCCCAGCUCUGCCGGCACCUUCUGCUCCAGAACCCUCCGUGACUCCCCGAGGCUGGCAUUCGAGGCCCCCCAGCCAGCAUCUGCCUCUCUGGGCUUCCUGUCCCUACCACACCCCUGCUUGUCCCACAGUGGUCCGACCACUUCCUGCUUCUGUGCCUUUGCGCAAGCUGGUCCCCAUGCCCGACAAGCCCUCCUCACCCCCUUUUUUACCCUUUCCCCCCAACUCGCCUAGUUUUUCACAGGCCAGGCCUAAAUGCCACCUCCUCCAGGCAGCUCGGGAUUCCUCCUCUGAGCUCCCUUGGGCCUGACGCUUGCACCAUGGCCGGCACAUAGCUGGCAGAAUGAACAAGGGACAGGUUCUGGGAUUGUCUUCCAGGCUCAGGGAGCACUGACGGGGGAGCACUUCCUGUGUGCCAGGCCCAGGACUCAGCGCUGUGGUGCCCCGACCCCUGGAAAUCUCACAGCAGCCUGACUGACAGCUCGGGUCGUGUUGUGUAAGCUGGCUUCGGUGCCUGACGAGAAUCCCAACGCCACCACCUCCUUGGGCCACUCAUCUGACCUCACCAGGCCUCUGUUUCCUAUCUGCAAAAUGGGAACACUGAGUUCACAGGGCUGUGAGUCCCACAUGAACCGCCUUGGCCAGGGCCUGCUCCCUGCAAGGUCCUUUGGUGGGCUGUUAGGGUGAUUGUUGUCAUCUGCCCCCUGGGGGCUGCCAGAUGCAUCCCAC